UGUGCAGGCGGGCCUAUAAGUCAGAGGUGAAAGCCCACGGCUCAACCGUGGAACUGCCUUUGAUACUGUAGGUCUUGGGUCCCGGAGAGGUCACUAGAAUUCGUGGUGUAGCGGUGAAAUGCGUAGAUAUCACGAGGAAUACCAGGGGCGUAGGCGGGUGACUGGACGGGUACUGACGCUGAGGCACGAAAGCGUGGGGAGCAAACAGGAUUAGAUACCCUGGUAGUCC
rnacentral:rRNA from 1 species